CCUUCGAUAGCUCAGUUGGUAGAGCGGAGGACUGUAGUGUGAAGUUUCUCAGGCAUCCUUAGGUCGCUGGUUCGAAUCCGGCUCGAAGGA
rfam:TPA: Bos taurus chromosome 1, whole genome shotgun sequence.